AGAGUUUGAUCCUGGCUCAGGAUGAACGCUAGCGGCAGGCCUAACACAUGCAAGUCGAGGGGCAGCACAGGUAGCAAUACUGGGUGGCGACCGGCGCACGGGGUAACGCGUAUGCAACCUACCUUUAACAGGAGGAUAGCCCCGAGAAAUCGGGAUUAAUACUCCAUAUCAUUUAUGAAUCGCAUGGUUUAUAAAUAAAAGUUCCGACGGUUAAAGAUGGGCAUGCGUGACAUUAGCUAGUUGGUGAGGUAACGGCUCACCAAGGCUACGAUGUCUAGGGGUUCUGAGAGGAUUAUCCCCCACACUGGUACUGAGACACGGACCAGACUCCUACGGGAGGCAGCAGUGAGGAAUAUUGGUCAAUGGUCGCAAGACUGAACCAGCCAUGCCGCGUGCAGGAUGAAGGUUCUAUGAAUCGUAAACUGCUUUUCUAAGGGAAGAAACCUAUCCUCGUGAGGGUAGUUGCCGGUACUUUAGGAAUAAGCAUCGGCUAACUCCGUGCCAGCAGCCGCGGUAAUACGGAGGAUGCGAGCGUUAUCCGGAUUCAUUGGGUUUAAAGGGUGCGUAGGCGGAUCAUUAAGUCAGUGGUGAAAUCUUUCGGCUUAACGGUAGAAUUGCCAUUGAUACUGAUGAUCUUGAAUUUAGUUGCUGUGGGUGGAAUGUGUGGUGUAGCGGUGAAAUGCUUAGAUAUCACACAGAAUAUCAAUUGCGAAGGCAGCUCACAAAGCCAUUAUUGACGCUCAGGCACGAAAGCGUGGGGAGCGAACAGGAUUAGAUACCCUGGUAGUCCACGCUGUAAACGAUGAUUACUCGCUGUCGGCGAUAUACAGUCGGUGGCUAAGCGAAAGUGAUAAGUAAUCCACCUGGGGAGUACGAUCGCAAGGUUGAAACUCAAAGGAAUUGACGGGGGCCCGCACAAGCGGAGGAGCAUGUGGUUUAAUUCGAUGAUACGCGAGGAACCUUACCUGGGCUCAAAUGUAGGUUGACAGGUCCUGAAAGGCUGAUUCCCUUCGGGGCUUUCUGCAAGGUGCUGCAUGGUUGUCGUCAGCUCGUGCCGUGAGGUGUCGGGUUAAGUCCCAUAACGAGCGCAACCCCUAUCGUUAGUUGCCAUCAGGUCAUGCUGGGGACUCUAACGAAACUGCCCGCGUAAGCGUGGAGGAAGGGGGGGAUGACGUCAAAUCAGCACGGCCCUUACGUCCGGGGCGACACACGUGUUACAAUGGUAGGUACAGAGGGCAGCUACCCAGCGAUGGGAUGCGAAUCUCUAAAACCUAUCUCAGUUCGGAUCGGAGUCUGCAACUCGACUCCGUGAAGUUGGAUUCGCUAGUAAUCGCGCAUCAGCCAUGGCGCGGUGAAUACGUUCCCGGGCCUUGUACACACCGCCCGUCAAGCCAUGGAAGCUGGGGGUGCCUGAAGUUCGUGACCGCAAGGAGCGACCUAGGGCAAAACUAGUAACUGGGGUUAAGUCGUAACAAGGUAACC
rnacentral:rRNA from 1 species